UUUAAGUAAAUUUUUACUUUUUAAUUUUUAUAAUUAUUUAAUACAUUUGCCACAUAUGUUUAUUUAUUUAUAAAAAAAAUAAAAUAAAAAAAAAUUAAAUAAAUAAAUAUAAAAACAAAUAAAUAAAUAAAUAAAUAAAUAAACAAACAAGUAAACAAGCAAGCAAAUAAGCAAACAAGCAAUAAGCAAUAAGCAAUAAGCAAACAAGCAAACAAGCAAAUAUGCAAACAAGCAAAUAAGCAAACAAAUAAACAAACAAGUGAGCAAGUAAACAAAGAAACAAACAAAUUUAUUAAUUAACAAAUAAAUAAAAUAAAAAAAAAAAAAAAUUUGUUUUUUCUUAUAUCAUAUUAUAUUGUAUAUAUACUUUUAACAUUUUACUUGUUUUUAGCAUAUUUCUCUUUAUAUAUGUACAUCUCAAUGUCUAUAUAUAUAUAUAUAUAUAUAUAUAUAUAUAUAUUUUGCUUAUAUUUUUUUCUUCAUAAGUUUUAAAACAAGUAUAUUUUUUUUACUAAAGUUUUGUUCAUUUUUUUCCAUAUUAAGAANNNNNNNNNNNNNNNNNNNNNNNNNNNNNNNNNNNNNNNNNNNNNNNNNNNNNNNNNNNNNNNNNNNNNNNNNNNNNNNNNNNNNNNNNNNNNNNNNNNNUUUUUUUUUUUUUUUUUUUUUUUUUUUUUUUUUAUCAUUGUACAAUUUAUACUUUUGUAGAUUUAUAUUUAUAAAAUAUUAGUAUACAUAUUAUCUUGUAUAAAUAAAAUAAAAUAUAUAUUUAUACAAAAAUAUUUAUAUUUAUACUGAAAUAUAUACAUAUAUAUAUAUAUAUAUUUAUUUAUUUACGCGUAAUCGCAUUAAAUGCAUAUACGCAUCAAAAAUUACAAAAAUUUGCAAAAAAAAAUAAUAACAUCAGCAGUAAUAAGAGUUUCUUAUUCAUCCAUAUAUAUAUAUAUAUAUAUAUAUAUAUAUAUGUAUAUUAAUGUUGGAUAGCUUUUUAUCAUUACAGACAGUGACAAAAAGAAUUGAAAUUUUUUUUUUUUUAAAAAAAAAAAAAAAAAAAAAACAUUGAGCAAUUAAGCAACUAAACAAUUGCCAAUUUAUAUGAUAUGAUUUUAAAGAAAUCGGACAAAAUAUUAAGGCCAAGUCGAUAUAUGUAUAUAUUCUCAUUAAUUAACUUUUUUAAAACAACAGACAGUAUUAUAAAACAUAGUUACGCUUACAUUAAUUACUUCGGUUCUAUUUCUCAGAUACAUAAAAAAUAUAAUAAAUUAAUUUUGAAUAAUUGCUCGAAUAAUUGCUUGAAUAAUAAAACAGUUCAUACUUAUUUAUGUAAAAUACAUAAAAAAUAUAAAAUGAAUAAAAAAGUUUUUAACUCCAUAAAUAUGAAUAUAGAUAAUGAUAAUGAAAAUUUGUUAAAUGAUAAAAAUAUAAAUUCAUUUAAUAAAAAUUUGAAUGAUAUAAAGGGUGCUAGGAAUUUCAAUCAACUUAGAAAUUCUGUAUAUAGUAAUAAACAGUAUAACACAAAUCAAAGCAAUGACAGUAAUAAUAAUUCAAUAAACAAUAGUUUUGGUAACAGCAGGAAUAAGAGUAAGGUACAUAACAGUUCUAUGAAUAGUGGUAAUAAUAACAACAAGUACAUCAAUAAUAGUAAUAGCAAUAAUCCAAACUUUAACCCCAAUUUUUCGAGUUCUUUUAAUAGAGAAAAUAUUAAAAAAAAUGAUGAUGUCAAUAUCUCAACGAAUGAAACAAAAAUAAAUACGAAUGCGAGUUUUGUUAAUUCCCAAAUGAAAGAUAAUAAACACUACACAAUGAAUAACGAACAAAUGACGCAUAUAAAUGAUAAUAAAUUUAUGAAUUAUGGGUUAAAAAUGAACAACUAUAGUAAGGACAAAAAUAUGUACAAUGACAACGGUUUCAUUUCCAACAAUGUUAAUAGUAAUAACAAUAACAAUACCAUUGGUAGUAAUUAUAACAAUGUCAAAUUUAAUGAUCAUUAUUAUGAUACAUCAUUAAAAAAUGUUAAUUAUAAAAACAGUUAUAAUGAAAAGGGAAAAGGUUCUGAAAAUUUAAAUAACAUUAAUACCAAUAACGUUAAAGCAAGUGAUCGAUUUAUACAUUUAGAUGAUAAUUAUCAGAAAAAUAUGAAAUAUAAUAUGAAAAAUAGUUUCAGUUCAAAUAAAAAAAAGGGUUUUGCUACAUAUAAUUUAAGUAACAGUAGUAUUAAUAACAAUAAUAUUAGCAGCACUAGUAAUAACUUAUUUAAGAAAAAUAAUGAAAAUACAAAUUAUACACCAAAAAAUUUUAAAAGUAGAACAUCAGAAGAUAUAAUGAUGAUGAAUAAUAAUCCCAAUGCUAUAGAAUUAAAUAAGAAUUUUGGUAAAAAUGUAAGUUCGAACAUAAACUUAGUAGAUAGAAAUAACAAUGUAGUAAACUCUAAGGACACAUUUAAUGACAAAAUAAAUAAUAACUUAAAUGUUGUUAGUAAUCAAAAUAUAAAUAAUCGCAAUAACAAUACCAUAAGCAACACACCCAAGUUAAAUAAUUUAAUGAAUAAUAAAAAUGUUAAUAUGAUAAAUGAAAAAUAUGAAAACACGACAUAUGAUACGAAUAGUAUGUACGAAAAUACAAAUAAUGUUAAAGGUUUAAUGGACAACUCUCAAGUGUAUAGUAGCAAUAGGAAUAGAAAUAAAACAACACCAUAUGCUAAUUUUAAUAAUAGUAGUAAUAAUAAUAGUAUGAAUAAUGUUGCAAAUGUUUCAAGUGUUGUUAAUACCAAUGUAAACAGUGUUAAAAGUGGUAAUCUUCGUAUGGGCAAUGUAAACAAUAUGGGCAAUGUAAACAAUAUGGGCAAUGUAAACAAUAUGNNNNNNNNNNUAAACAAUAUGGGCAAUGUAAACAAUAUGGGCAAUGUAAACAAUAUGAGCAAUGUAAACAAUUUGAACAAUGUAAACAAUUUGAACAAUGUAAACAAUUUGAACAAUGUUGAAUAUGGGGGAAAAAUAAUAUUAGAAAACGAAAAGGGAAGCAACAUUGUAAUGAAUAAACAUGUAAGAACUGUCACAUAUGAUACCAAAGUAAAUAAUUUUAGUAAUGACUUUGUUAAUAUGGAAGAUGAACAAUACACAAAUCAUUCCUCUUCGAACAAUUUGAAAAAUGUGAAUAAUAUGAGUAGUUCUAUCAAUGUAAGUAGCCAAAAUAAUUUAAACAAAAUGAAAAAUGUUAGUAAUAUAAAUGAAAUAGGUAGCAACAUGGGUAGUAACAUUGUCAACAGUAUUGGCAACAAUAUGGGCAGCAACAUGGUCAGAAAAGAAAGUUCAAACAACAUGAAUAAGAGCAGUAGCAAUAGUUUUAGUAUUAAUACUAGUAAACCAGAAGAACAGUACAGUGCUGGAAUGAACUUAAAUAAACAGAACUCGAACAGUAUGAGUUCUACUGCUUCUUCAUGUUCCAUAAAUUUAGAGUCGGAUGCUUUUAUAUAUUAUGACUUUAGUGAUUUUUUUAAUUAUAUGUAUAAAGAUGAAAAUAUAUUAACUCUUUUUUUUAUUAGAAAGAAUUAUUUAAAAGCAGAAUCUAAAGAGGAAUUUGGUUAUGAAAAUAAUAAAAUAAAAUGUUCUAUUACUUGGUCAUUUCCAAAUGAUGAAAAAAUAACUGUUUUUGGGUUACAUACUAAUAAAAAAUUAAGUAAAAAGGUAUGUGUAAAAAAUAUUUUAUUAAAAUUGAAAAAUAUAUCUGUUUUAGAGUUAGAUCAAAUGACUAAAUGGAUGAUAAAUUCUCUCAAUGUUAUAUUAAAAGUGGAACAUAAAAAUGUAGAAAAUACAUUUAACACUGCUAGUGGUAUGUAUUCUAGUAAUAUGGAAUGGAAAAUAAAUAAUAAAUUAUAUCAAGCAACAGGUGUACAUGCUCAUGAAAAAAUAGCUGAAAUUAUUGCUACACAAAAUAUGUAUGCAAGUUUAUAUGAUCUUAAAGAGGAAUUAAUUAAAGAAAAUGAAGUACCUAAAAGUUUUGAAGAUAAAAAAAUGGGAAAUAUGCGAAAAAACAAUAGUAAUAAUAACAAAAUGUAUGAAAAUACUUUAUUUGCAAAAGCAAUGAAUAAUAGUAAAAAAAGUGGUGAUUCUCAACCGUUGUUUAAUAAAACUGGUAACAAUAUGAUGCAAUUUAAUAAUAUGAACAAUACAAACAUGUCCAGUGGAAACACACAUAAGAAAAACAUGCAAAAUGUUAAUAAUUAUAAUGAAGUUUACAACCAAGCAGAUAAUAACAACGCGUUAUUGCAAAAUAUGGCUUCUAACAUGUAUAACAGAAACAUGAACAAUAAUUCAAUGAUAAAUAAUUUUUCACUAAAUAAUGCCAUCAUGGGAAAUCCUUCCAUGAACAACAUGUACAAUGCAAAUAAUUAUCCAAAUAGUAAUAUUCCUGCUCCACCUAGUAUGAAUAAUAAUACAUUUAUACCAGGAAACAUGUCAACUGGAUUAAACGAUGGGAAUGUAGUAAAUAACACAACCACUAAUACUAUAAAUAACACACCACCAAAACCACCAAGUACAAACCCUGCAGAUUUAAUACAGUAUAGCUUGACCAAACAAGAUUCUAGUGGUAUACAGAUGCUAAGAAAUAAUAUCGCAUCCAAAUAUAAAAUUCAACAAACUGAAAGUUUUGAUCAAGUAGGUAAUAUAUUUAAAUGUACAUUAGAAUGGCAAUGGAAGAAUGGAAAAAUAACUUGUAAAUCUAAAAGUGUUGGUUAUGGAAGUAAUAAAAGUUUAGCAAAAUCAGAAGCUGCAUAUGAUAUGUUGGUAAAAAAUAAUUUAGUUGAAUAUGUUUCAUCAACUGAUAGAAAAAGUGCUCAAUUUAUAAAAGAUCUUAUAUCAGUAGAUUUACCAAAAGCAUUAAAUUUAGGUAUUCAAUACAUACAACAAUAUAGUAGUAAUGGUUGGUCCAUUUUUGUGGUUCUUUUGUUAAGAGAAUUGUUAAUAGAACGUAACUUUGACAAUAUAAAUAGGUUGUUAAGUACAAUUGUGGAGGUAAGUAGAGAAGGUAGAAUAGAAUCAGACAAUAUAAAUAAGUUAAUCAAUACUAAUAAGGUGCCUACUAAUAAUGUGUCUACGAACAAUACGAAUACGGUGAGUUCUAGUAAUAAUACAGAAAACAUAGUGGCAAAUAACUCAAAUACAAAUACUAGCACAGACACAAACACAGAAAUGGAACAAUACAUUGACAGUACAAGCAGUUUAUUUUUUUGUAGUCCUUACAUCAAAAAUCAAAGCGAAAAUGAUAUUACUACUAACAAUAAUUACAUACACAAAUUAGUAUCAAUCGAAUUAUGGGAAAAACUAAUAGAUGAAUGUGUUAUUGUUUUAAAUGAUAAUUUGUGUUAUAAUUGUAUUAACAUAUUAAAAGAUGUAGAAUUAGAUCAUUCAAUUUUUAUUUCGAAAUGUGCACAUGAUUAUUAUAAAAAAUAUCGUAUUAUGUUAGCUUUAGAAUUACAAGCUAAUUUAGCACAAAGUAUACAAGAAAAAAGAGAUUAUGAAUAUUUACAUGAAAAUAAAUCUUUAUUAUUAAAAACGAAAAGUAUUACUAUGCCUAUGUUAUCAUUUUCUUGUACCCUAACAAGUGAAGAAAAGGAAUGGAUGAAGUCAACACAGAUGAGAGAAGACGAUAUAGUACUGUUAAAACCAUGUGAUAUGUUAUUAAAAGAUGAAGAUGCAUGGUCUAAUAGUUUAAUAGGUAGUAUAACCAGUACAAAAAGUGAUAAUAUUAUAUUUAAUAUUAAUAUUCGAAUAUUUUCAGCGGAAAAUACUAAAAAAAUUAAUGUAAAAUAUACAAAAUAUAAAUUAUAUUUAUUAUUAAAUAUAGUUACUCAUGAAAGAAUGUUACAAGCUUUAAGAUCUAUCACUUUUAUUAGUUCCAUCCCAACACAAUAUCAAUCACCUUAUGUAUUUACCCCAGAAAUACGUUUCUUAAUUUUACAUACAUAUAAUAAACAUGCAAAAUAUGUUGCACAAACUGGAAAAUUAAAUGAACAGUUAGUAGAAAAAGAAAGUAUUAAAAUGGAUUUUCAAAAUCCUGAAUUAUCGAAACUAGCACAAGAAGAUGUGUUAACUGAAUAUAGUAGAUCAACUAAAAACCCGUAUGAAGAUUUAUUAAACGAGUCACUAAACAAACAAAUAGGUAAUUCAAAUGUUGAAAAUAUUGAUCAAUAUUUAAUGGAAAGUAUUAAUUUACCUACAAAUUUACCUCUAAAUGAUUCACAAAAGUUAGCUUGU
rnacentral:lncRNA from 1 species